CAGAGAGGGUGGCUGCGGGUGGGCAAUGGCACCAUCGGCUAAAAAAGGUCAUGUGGCAGGAAGCAUGUCGGUAUGUGACAGUUUCCUGGGCCAUGUAUUGUAACUGCCACGUUAUGCUUCUAUAGUUGCAACCCUAGGAACCGUGGGAAACACCAGCUGCAAGCCUUGGGGACGCUUCAAGAGUGUGUAGUGGGCUGGAGAGAUGGCUCAGCAGUUAAAAGCAUUUGCUGCUCUUGCAGAGGAUCCCAGCGCCCAUGUCUAGAAGUCUACGACUGCCUGUAACUCCAGCUCCUGAGGGUCCCGUGCUCCAUGGACACCAGCCCUCACGGACACACAUUCACACAGUUGAGGCUCCGUCUGUCGCUAUGCGCUGUAAUGCUCAAUACUGGCCCUCGAGGCCUGGUUGCUCCCAGGAAGGAGAAAAUCUGCCCUUACACAAGUGAUGCUGUGUAACCUCACCCCUCCCCCCAAGUUAUCCCUGAUUGGUGAAUAAAGAUGCCGACAGCCAUUAGCUGGGCAGAGGAGAGACAGGCAAGGUUUGGGUUCCUGGGCUUGAGAUCAGAGGAGAAGCCAUGAGGAGAGAGAGAGAGAAGGUGGAGAGAGGAAAAGAUGCCACAGGGUGGGUGAGUCAUAAAACCAGGGCCAUGAGGGCUGGCCAAUUGGAGUUAAGAGCUGACCAGAUGAAACGUGACAAGUUAUAACUUGGAGUUGUUGAUGGGGACGUAGAUUCUAAUAUCACGGAGGGUAGACAUCUGCCAGCUCUAGUGCAUUAUAGGCUUACUAUAAAUAUAAAGAUUGUGUGGUUUUUAAUCAGCGAGCUGAAUGAUCAAAGAUAGAGUAGAAACCUCCCAUUAAUAUUAAAAUGUUUUCUACAACGCACAUACCCUUGAUUAUUACAAAAUAAAGUAAACCUACUAGCCAGAUGUGGCGGCGCGCACCUUCAAUCCCAGCGCCCAGGAGCAGAGGCCGCAGAUCUCUAUUCAUCUGAGGUCAUCUUGCGCUACACAGUGCGUUCCAGCGAGCAUUGAGGCGCAUACGUGUGAUCCCGGUACUAAAGGGGGGGAGGGGUAGGAUCAUGAGUUCACAGAUCUGAAAAGAAGACGUGAACUGAGGAAGCAUGGACCAGGAACUGAACUGCGUGAGGGGAAUUCUGAGUGCUUGUGAGAGAAUGCCUGGAAAACAAGACAAGAGUUGUGACCUCGGUUUCUUCAAAACCUCGAUCUGUUCUUGGAGCGGUUCUCAGUGUCGCCCCUAGGUGUACUAGAUGAGAGUGGGUUUACUUCAGAUUAUUCAUUAAGACUAGCUAUCGUUAUUUGUUUAUAUGCUUCUAUGAAAAUACACGUUUUGGGGGGGAGGGGGGGUUGGGGAUUUAGCUCAGCGGUAGAGCGCUUGCCUAGCAAGCGCAAGGCCCUGGGUUUGGUCCCCAGCUCCGAAAAAAAGAAAAGGAAAAAAAAGAAAGAAAGAAAGAAAGAAAGAGAGAGAGAGAGAGAGAAAAAGAAAGAAAGAAAGAAAGAAAGAAAGAAAGAAAGAAAGAAAGAAAGAAGGAAAGAAAAUACACGUUUUGCCGUGUGCAGCGUGUCCUUUAGAUUGUACGUUUACUCAUGUGGUUCUCCUUAAACCUCAGAGGAUAAACCGUUCGAUGCUCUGAAUAAAGUUGGCUAUUGCAUGAGACUUUAGUCCGCCUCACUUUUAGGCUCCGUUCUCCCAGGUUCAGCCACCUUCAGAGUAGUAAACAGAGCACCUGACGGAGUAGGCAGGAGAAGAUAUGCCCAGACUCAACCAACUGGCAAACAGAUAGAAAGGAUUCAAACCUGCUCACACACUUGGCUCCGGCUCUGUCAACACCGCGAAACCUUUAGAACAGUUUGCCCCGUCAGAGUCCACAAGAGCUGUGCUGACAGCGUGGCCUUAAGGAGAACUGAACUUACGCCAGGCAGACGGAAGCAUUUCCCAAACACCCACGCUGCCGGUCUCAUCAGAAGCCUGAGGCCACCCUCAGCUGCUGCCGCAUGCUCUCCUGAACUGUGGUAACAGGACGGCAGAGGGACCACUGCAAUGUGCUGGCUGGGGGGUUGCAUUGCAACCUGUCCCGAGACCUGCCAGCGCCAGUGAGACCUCUCUCUGACCCUCCUCCCACCUCAUUUUCUGUAGGACCUCGGGUCUCUUUCUAGGAAUAGAUUCCAUCUAUCUCAGAUUCUCUAGGCUAACCAAGAUGGCGUCCCCGGGUUCCAGUAUCUGGGGGAACAGAGAAGGAAGCAGGAGCAUUGCUGAGGGAAACACGGAGGUUUGUACCCCAUGUGUCUCCCAGAUAGAGACAGUUUUGGGGGACCUUGCUGCUUCAGAGCUUGUCUGCUGUCCUCCCACCCCCUCAUCUAGCAUGAUAACAGCCAACCAGCUUAGAUCUGGUGAUCAGAAAUUUACCACCGAACGAACGAACCAUAGCCAUCCUCAGGUUGGCCGUUCAAAGAUACACUGCCAAAACAGCUGUGUGCAAGAACGGUGGCCCUCUCCCCGAACCUAACUGCCUUUUAAACAUGAACUUUCAAUAGUUCCAAUCAAGCAUCAGGUGACAUGCGGACACAUUGUAAGAGGCAUGGGGGUCAGUCUGAUGACCCUGGCAAUCAUCCCAUGUGACCUUCUGAUGCAAUACAGCAGUAAUGGCCAGCAGGCUGUGUGAGGCUGUGCGGGAGAAGCUGGAUGCGCUGUUUACAGUUUAUCUUUUAGAGUUACUUAUUUUAUAUGUGUGUGUGGGCCCAAGGGCACGUAUGUGUGCCGCAUGCAUGCAGAUGCUCCUGGAUGCCAGUGAGGGCGCUGGACCCCCUGUAAAUGCAGUUACAGGUGGCUGUGAGCCACCCAAGGCGGGUUUUGGGAAACAGAAUUCUACAAGAGCAGCAAGUACUCUUAACCGCUGAGCCAUCUCCCCAGGCCAUUAAUAUUAUUUUUAAUGACGAGAGACAGCCUGUAAAUUAAUAGUUGUAAGCUUAACUUAGAACAUAUACCUAACAUGAGAAAAGACUUGGGGCCCAUUCCUAAAACCAAAAUGGUGGUGAUGAUGAUGAUGAUGAUGAUGAUGGUGGUGGUGAUGGUGGUGGUGGUGGUGGUGAUGAUGAUGAUGAUGAUGAUUAUAAUAGGACUGAAACGACGGCUCAAUGACUAAAAGCACCUCACUGCCUUUGCAGAAGAUGAGAACAGUUCUCAUCACCCACAUCAGAUGGCUCACAACAACCUGCUAAGUCCCAAGCUGAAGGGUCCAGCGCCCUCUUAUGGCCUCCAUUGAUACUGCACUCACAUGCACAUACCUGUACACAUAUUCACAAAAUUAAAAAAAAAAAUAAAAUAAAUACUUUUUUAGAAAACAUGUUAGCCAGGCAGUGGUAGUGCGUGUAUUUAAUCCAGCACUCUGGAUGCAGAGGCUGGUGGAUCUCUGAGUUUAAGGCGGGCCUAGUCUACAGAGUGAGUUCCUGGACACCCAGGGCUAAACAGAGAAACCCUGUCUUGAAAAAUCCAUCCAUCCAUCCCUAAAAUGUAACAAGUGCAUGCGACAGUUGCCAUUGUGUGGAAUAACCAUCACGGAGUGUUACUUACUGUACGGAUUGUGCUAUAAACUUGUUUGGUUUGGUGUGGGUUUGGGUGUGAGACAAUCUCACUCUGUAGUCACCGCAGGACUGGAACUCAGAGAGAUCGACCUGCCUUUACCUCCAAAAGGACUCGGCAGGAGGAUUGAGAGCAUGCGCCACCAUGCCCAGGCACUCAACUGUAAUCUUGCGUAUAUGGCUGCUCUUCAACUGAAGGAUGGUUAAACAGCAAGAAUGGACUACACUUCUAAUCUUUACACACGGCCAGUUAAAUAUCAUAGCAUACACAAAACUUAAAGAUUAAAGAGGAAAUCUUCCCAGCAGAAAUAAUCAGAGGAGCAGGGUAAUUAAAUCAGGUGGAGAAUGUGUUUGGGAAGUAUUGAAAAAUAAGAGACUAUCAGGAGAGGAGGGUGGUGAUGGCGAUAAUAACCUGUUGCUCCUGUCAGCUAGCACCGUCUGUUAGCCCAAAAGCAAGCCUGUGAGGUUGGACAACUGAGCUCAUCUUUCCUGCUGGGACGCUGGUGGCCGGAAGUUGGCACCUCGCUCUGAGUGCUUUCCUUGCGGCUUUCUGACUCGGCUCAUGAUGUUUUGGGUGGCGCUGUUUCCUGGGUCCGAGGGCAAGAUGAGCGGGUUCAGAAGGGAGUGGAUUUGUUCAGCUGUUUGAAGUGCCCACGAGCUGAUCAGUGUAAGCGACUGCAAGCAGUCUGGUUCCAGGAAAUUUUUGGGAAAAUGUCCUCUUCCUAGGAGCCAGAGCUGAAGAUAUUUGUAUCUGAACACCUUGAUCAGGAAGAGCAAGCCCAGAGGGGCGUUAGUGAGGUGAAAGCUGUGUGGAGGAGACUCUUGCGGCGUGAGGGGGUUGGGCUGUACAGCAGGGGCGUGGUCUUCAACUUCCUGGGGUGGGGUGGGGGUUGGGGGAGAAGUCCAGAUGAAGGGACAACCCACGGAACAAUGAACAGUGACAAAAUCAUGAACAAGGAACUGCCACUACACGGAAGAGAUCAAAACAAGUAGUUAAAUGCUUGUAGGGUUCCCAGAUCAGUCCUGGAAUGAAGAGUUGGGAGAGACGUCAGGACUCGGGUGCUCUCACUCUCCAAGAGCAGAGGCUGCCUAGACAACUGGUGUGAGGAGAGCCACGGUUCCAUGUCCAGUACCACAAAGGAGAGAGAUGGGAUGGAAGAGCAGCUCUGGAGAGAUGGCUCAGCAGUUAAGAGCACUGGUUGCUCUUCUAGGGGACCAGGGUUCAAUUCCCAGCACCCACGCAACAGCUCUCUGUAACUCCAGUUCCAAUGCAUCCGACACUCUCAUACAGACAUGCAGAUAUGACCAAAACACAAGCUGUAAAGUAAAUGUACUUAGUAAUAAAAAAAAUCUUUAAAAAAUGAAUUUUAAAAAGAGAGAGAGGGAAGGGUUAGUGGGAAGUUGAUGGAGUUCAAAUAACAGUAAUUUGCCACGCCCCCCAACUCCCAUCUGACUGGCAAUUUCCCUGGUCCCUUGGGAUUGGUGAACCCACCAAGUUUCUGCACCCAAAUAAACCUGACUUCUUACUCUCAAUUCCGCUUGAAUUGACUUAUUUUGUCAGCAGAGAAAAACCUAUUACAAAUACUAUUUUCAAGUGAAAAAUUAAGGCAGGUAUGUGGCGUUCUUGAGAAAAAGGUAGUAGGAUGGUGAGUUCUGGGCCAGCCUGGGCUACAGAUUGACCCCAUCUCAAAAUUUUGAAAGGGCUAGACAUAUACCUCCACAGUAGACUGGUGGUCUUGACUGUGCCAGAGACUUUUAUAAACGCAGCCAGCAUACCCGAGUGAGUCGUCUUGGGGCUGGAGAGAUGGCUCAGUGGUUAGGAGCACUGGCCGCUCUUGCGGACAACCUGGGUUCAGUUCCCAGCGUCCACAUGGCAGCAUACAGCUGUCAAUAACUCCGAUUACAGGGGAUCUGAUGCCAUCUUCUGGCUUCCAAGGCCCACCAGAUACCUACACAUGCAGGUAGAACACCCAAACACAUAAAUAAAAGGAAUAAAUCUUAAAAAAAGAAAAAAAAAAUCCAAGGGCUGGAGAGAUGACUCAGAAAGGAGAGACCUGAAUUUAAUCCCUAGAAAGGACUUCACAAAGUUGCCCUCUGACCACCUGUGCCAGGCAUGAUAUGUGUGUCCCCUCCACCCACGCACACACCUAUACAUAAGUAAGUGGAGUUUUUUUGUUUUGUUUUGUUUUUUUGGAGCUGGGGACUGAACC